rnacentral:rRNA from 1 species
GAUGAACGCUGGCGGCGUGCUUAACACAUGCAAGUCGAACGAUGAUGCCCAGCUUGCUGGGUGGAUUAGUGGCGAACGGGUGAGUAACACGUGAGUAACCUGCCCUUGACUCUGGGAUAAGCCUGGGAAACUGGGUCUAAUACCGGAUACGACCAUCUGGCGCAUGUCAUGGUGGUGGAAAGCUUUUGUGGUUUUGGAUGGACUCGCGGCCUAUCAGCUUGUUGGUGGGGUAAUGGCCUACCAAGGCGACGACGGGUAGCCGGCCUGAGAGGGUGACCGGCCACACUGGGACUGAGACACGGCCCAGACUCCUACGGGAGGCAGCAGUGGGGAAUAUUGCACAAUGGGCGCAAGCCUGAUGCAGCGACGCCGCGUGAGGGAUGACGGCCUUCGGGUUGUGAACCUCUUUCAGUAGGGAAGAAGCGAAAGUGACGGUACCUGCAGAAGAAGCGCCGGCUAACUACGUG